GCAACGAGCGCAACCCCUGCAUCCAGUUGCCAUCGGGCGAGCCGGGCACUCUGGAGGGACUGCCGGCGACAAGCCGGAGGAAGGUAGGGGAGUGACGUCAAGUACAUCAUGGCCUUACUGUCCAGGGCGACACACGUGCUACAAUGGCCGGCACAGCGGGAAGCGGAGGGGCGACCCUGAGCGGAUCCCUUGAAAGCCGGUCCCAGUUCGGAUUGCAGUCUGCAACUCGACUGCAUGAAGUUGGAAUCGCUAGUAAUCGCGGAUCAGCCAAGCCGCGGUGAAUACGUUCCCGGGCCUU
rnacentral:rRNA from 1 species